rnacentral:rRNA from 1 species
GACGAACGCCGGCGGCGUGCCUAAUACAUGCAAGUAGAACGCUGAAGGAGGAGCUUGCUUCUCUGGAUGAGUUGCGAACGGGUGAGUAACGCGUAGGUAACCUGCCUGGUAGCGGGGGAUAACUAUUGGAAACGAUAGCUAAUACCGCAUAAGAGUAGAUGUUGCAUGACAUUUGCUUAAAAGGUGCAAUUGCAUCACUACCAGAUGGACCUGCGUUGUAUUAGCUAGUUGGUGAGGUAACGGCUCACCAAGGCGACGAUACAUAGCCGACCUGAGAGGGUGAUCGGCCACACUGGGACUGAGACACGGCCCAGACUCCUACGGGAGGCAGCAGUAGGGAAUCUUCGGCAAUGGACGGAAGUCUGACCGAGCAACGCCGCGUGAGUGAAGAAGGUUUUCGGAUCGUAAAGCUCUGUUGUAAGAGAAGAACGAGUGUGAGAGUGGAAAGUUCACACUGUGACGG